AACGCAUGCUUGAAAUGUUACGUGUUAAUAAAUCUAUUGUUAUUAUUCUUCAGUGAUUAACGACCGCUGACAAGCAUUUUAACAUGAUUGUGGACUCGUAUUUCAAUAUUGGCGGGAAUUUGAUCCAAAAAUCAAAAUUAUAAAAACAAGGCAAAAAUCAAGUUUCAUUUCCGCGAGUCGUGAGUGUAGCUGUUUAAUUGGCAAUUUAAUAUAUAUCAGUGUUUCUUCGUAUAAUGGGUCCUACUUCGUCUUCGAGGAAUCUUCCUGUACAAAAAUAUUUUCGCCAAAAAAACAAACGGUAGCGUUUGAAGAGUUGUCAAAUGCCAGGUGGGUGACUGUACGUUGGUCAGUCCAGUCAGCUAGGGGACAUAUAAAUAUUUCUGACAGGGAAGAUGGCAAUAAUCCCAGGUAAGCGUUGCUUUUCAUUAUUGUCUUACUGAAAAAUAUGCUUGCCCAAAGCGGACAAAAUUACGAACAAUGAAAUACCAAGUCCAUUUUCUCAAAUACCAAGUCCAUUUUACAAAUACCAAGUCCAUUUUCUCAAAUACCAAGUCCAUUUUACAAAUACCAAGUCCAUUUUCUCAAAUACCAAGUCCAUUUUACAAAUAUUGGGUCCAUUUUCUCAAAUACCAAGUCCAUUUUACAAAUAGCAAGUCCAUUUUACAAAUACCAAAUCCAUUUUCUCAAAUACCAAGUCCAUUUUACAAAUAUCAAGUCCAUUUUAAAAAUACCAAGUCCAUUGUACAAAUACCAAGUCCAUUGUACAAAUAUCAAGUCCAUUUCACAAAUACCAAGUCCAUUUUACAAAAUAAUAUCAAGCCAUUUUUAUUCACUGCCACAGUGCUACUUUGGAAAAUGAAAUUUCCCUACUACAAGGAAAUUGUCAAAAUGGAAUUGAUAUUCGCGUGCGUGCAAAACAAUUUGCGAAACACAAUACCAAUUCGAACAUGCUAAUUAGGUCAUAAUGUUUCAAUGAAU